AGUGAACGCUGGCGGUAGGCCUAACACAUGCAAGUCGAACGGCAGCACAGUAAGAGCUUGCUCUUACGGGUGGCGAGUGGCGGACGGGUGAGGAAUACAUCGGAAUCUACUUUUUCGUGGGGGAUAACGUAGGGAAACUUACGCUAAUACCGCAUACGACCUACGGGUGAAAGCAGGGGAUCUUCGGACCUUGCGCGAUUGAAUGAGCCGAUGUCGGAUUAGCUAGUUGGCGGGGUAAAGGCCCACCAAGGCGACGAUCCGUAGCUGGUCUGAGAGGAUGAUCAGCCACACUGGAACUGAGACACGGUCCAGACUCCUACGGGAGGCAGAAGUGGGGAAUAUUGGACAAUGGGCGCAAGCCUGAUCCAGCCAUACCGCGUGGGUGAAGAAGGCCUUCGGGUUGUAAAGCCCUCUUGUUGGGAAAGAAAAGCAGCAGGUUAAUACCCCGCUGUUCUGACGGUACCCAAAGAAUAAGCACCGGCUAACUUCGUG
rnacentral:rRNA from 1 species